rnacentral:rRNA from 1 species
GACGAACGCUGGCGGCGUGCCUAAUACAUGCAAGUAGGACGCAGUUGCGAACGGGUUAGUAACGCGUCUGUAACUGCCUAUUAGAGGGUGCUAACUAUUGGAGCCGAUAGCUCAUACCGCAUACUUGUAGGUGGACCUGCGUUGUUUUAGCUAGUAGGUAGGGUAAUGGCCUCCCUAGGCAACGAUCCAUAGCCGACCGGAGGGGGUGAUCCGCAACACUGGGGCGUAGACACGGCCCAGACUCCUACGGGAUGCAGGAGUAGGGAAUCUUCGGCAAUGGGGGGAACCCUGACCGAGGAACGCCGCGUGAGUGAAGAAGGUUUUCGGAUCGUAAAGCUCUGUUGUUAAGGAAGCGGUACUUAACCAGAAAGGGACGGCUAACUACGUGCCAGCAGCCGCGGUAAUAC